rnacentral:rRNA from 1 species
GCGAGCGGCGGAUGGGUGAGUAACACGUGGGGAACCUGCCCCUAAGUCUGGGAUACCAUUUGGAAACAGGUGCUAAUACCGGAUAAUAAAGCAGAUCGCAUGAUCAGCUUUUGAAAGGCGGCGUAAGCUGUCGCUAAGGGAUGGCCCCGCGGUGCAUUAGCUAGUUGGUAAGGUAACGGCUUACCAAGGCGACGAUGCAUAGCCGAGUUGAGAGACUGAUCGGCCACAUUGGGACUGAGACACGGCCCAAACUCCUACGGGAGGCAGCAGUAGGGAAUCUUCCACAAUGGACGCAAGUCUGAUGGAGCAACGCCGCGUGAGUGAAGAAGGUUUUCGGAUCGUAAAGCUCUGUUGUUGGUGAAGAAGGAUAGAGGUAGUAACUGGCCUUUAUUUGACGGUAAUCAACCAGAAAGUCACGGCUAACUACGUGCCAGCAGCCGCGGUAAUACGUAGGUGGCAAGCGUUGUCCGGAUUUAUUGGGCGUAAAGCGAGCGCAGGCGGAAAAAUAAGUCUAAUGUGAAAGCCCUCGGCUUAACCGAGGAACUGCAUCGGAAACUGUUUUUCUUGAGUGCAGAAGAGGAGAGUGGAACUCCAUGUGUAGCGGUGGAAUGCGUAGAUAUAUGGAAGAACACCAGUGGCGAAGGCGGCUCUCUGGUCUGCAACUGACGCUGAGGCUCGAAAGCAUGGGUAGCGAACAGGAUUAGAUACCCUGGUAGUCCAUGCCGUAAACGAUGAGUGCUAAAGUGUUGGGAGGUUUUCCGCCUCUCAGUGCUGCAGCUAACGCAUUUAAGCACUCCGCCUGGGGAGUACGACCGCAAGGUUUGAAACUCAAAGGAAUU